rnacentral:tRNA from 1 species
UCUAUUUCCAAAACCGGCAGGUAGGUCGCUCCUUUGGUAAGGGAGAGGUCGAGAGUUCAAGUCUCUCCAGCAGCACCA